CAGCAGCCGCGGGAAUACGUAGGUGGCGAGCGUUGUCCGGAAUUAUUGGGCGUAAAGGGAGCGCAGGCGGACAUAUAAGUCCAUCUUAAAAGUGCGGGGCUCAACCCCGUGAGGGGAUGGAAACUGUAUGCCUUGAGUGCAGGAGAGGAAAGCGGAAUUCCCAGUGUAGCGGUGAAAUGCGUAGAUAUUGGGGGGAACACCAGUGGCGAAGGCGGCUUUCUGGACUGUAACUGACGCUGAGGCUCGAAAGCGUGGGGAGCAAACAGGAUUAGAUACCCGAGUAGUCCCUGUCUCUUAUACA
rnacentral:rRNA from 1 species